GAAUAUUGGACAAUGGGGGCAACCCUGAUCCAGCAAUGCCGCGUGAGUGAUGAAGGCCUUAGGGUUGUAAAGCUCUUUUACCCGGGAUGAUAAUGACAGUACCGGGAGAAUAAGCCCCGUCUAACUCCGUGCCAGCAGCCGCGGUAAUACGGAGGGGGCUAGCGUGGUUCGGAAUUACUGGGCGUAAAGCGCACGUAGGCGGCGAUUUAAGUCAGAGGUGAAAGCCCGGGGCUCAACCCCGGAAUAGCCUUUGAGACUGGAUUGCUUGAACAUCGGAGAGGUGAGUGGAAUUCCGAGUGUAGAGGUGAAAUUCGUAGAUAUUCGGAAGAACACCAGUGGCGAAGGCGGCUCACUGGACGAUUGUUGACGCUGAGGUGCGAAAGCGUGGGGAGCAAACAG
rnacentral:rRNA from 1 species